rnacentral:tRNA from 1 species
GCUCGCUUGGCGGAAUUGGUAGACGCGCUAGCUUCAGGUGCUAGUGGUAGCAAUACCAUGAGAGUUCGAGUCUCUCAGCGAGCACCA